AACUAUUUGCUCAGGCUGGCUUUAAACUGUGAUCCUCCUGAUCUCUGCCUCCUGAGUAGCUAGGAUUAUAAGCGUGAGCCACCAGUGCCCAGCAAGACUAGAGUUUUGUGUUAUAGGCAUUUAUCUCCAUAUUUUUCUCUCCAGAGAAUGCUGGCUUUGGGCACAAGCCAGAGAUAGACACAGCUACUAACUCACUCAUUCUUCAGAGUUUUUGAUAAUAGCCUUAAGAUAGUUCUUUUCUCUGAGGAAGCCAUAACACAUCCCUCCCCUGCUUUUUGCAAGAGUUUUGAAAAAUAAGUUGCUGGAAUGGUCUUUAUGUAUUUUUGUUUUAUUGAACUUUUUCUUCCUGCCUCUAUUUUUUUUAAAUUCUUUCUCAAAAAAUGAGGUUGAGGCUCACUGCCCCUGUGAUUGCUUGGGGUAUAUUUGCUGGUCCAGCUAAAGGCUGAAGUUGAGGGCUGGGGUGUAGCUCAGCAGUAGGCAUGUGCUCAGAAUGUGCAGUGCUUCCCAGCUCUAAGGAAAAACACAGAAACUCUGACUUCAGAGCAAGCUUACCAGCUAGAAAGUAAAAGCCUGACUAUAUACUGAUUCAUAGAUGUCAGCGGACAAGGGUUGAAAGUAGCACAUUAUGUCACUGCAACGUAUUGACAUGAUCGAUUUUCUGUCACUAAACAACCAGGCAACUGAAUGAUUUACUUUCUGUGUUCAGCUGCAUUUUUCAAUUAGAGGGAGCAAGUGUUGAGGGAGUGGGACGCAGUAUCAGAAGUUACAUAUUUUCUCCUGUUAACACUAACAUCGCUGCCGACAGGUGCUGGGCUGUAAUGCUGGCAUUGUAGCAAGUAUUCAGGGUUGGGAGCCUCCAGCCCUUCUACCCAGUGCAUUGCCAUUUCUGUCACCAGCUGCAUACUUGAGGGGCUGUUUCAGGCUAGUUUAUUCUAUUUAUUUUGCUGACUUUCUAGGAUUAUUUUCUUUCACAGUGCUGGAUGGAACCCAUGGCCUUGUGCUUGCUGUGUCGGCAGGUACUCUGUCACUAAGCUCUUUUCCCAGCCCUGUUUUGCUGACUUUGAACUACAUUUCCCAGGACUUCAAUGUUUCUACGUUGCUUUUUACAAAUACUCAUUAUCAAUCAUACUGAGCCAAACUUUCAACUAUUGAACUUGAAGUUGCAAUACGGAUGUUCAUGGUUCAGCAGAUGGAGAUAUAUAAAUAAGGGCCACUCAAAGGUGAAGAAUAAUUAAUGACUGUGGCCCCCAGCAAAGCUGCUCUGGACUUUCCCAGGUUUCAGUUGUGGUAACUUGAACCAGUCAUUCUAGUUUCUUGGACAUUGUUUUAUUUUCUUGCAAGCUAAUAUGGCAUUUGUAUUUCACAAGGCUAAACUAUACACAGUAUUUCUAAAUUGUGCACUGUGAGAGUUGGUUAUAUUAACUGUUACUCUGAAGCUGAGAAUUUGGACUAGUAACAAAUCCACUGCAUUUGUUCUCUGUGUAAAAUUUUGUUAUAACAGUGCUAAUUACUAAGCAGCUGAAUUUGAAGAAGUGCACAGCAGUAAUUUGCACCUUACUGUUGCCUUGCCAUUAAAAAAAUUGUGAACACAUACACAGAGCAUAUGCACUUGAUUUAUGAACUUCCCAAGGGCCUUUUAGCACUUGAUCGCUCAUGGUUUGACUUGUGUUCAGCAUUUGGGCUUUUGAGAUUCAUUUUACGCGAAUAAGAGCUGUUAAGUACAGAACAGGAUGUUUUAAAAAAGGAAGAGUAAGUAGCACUUGGAGAUUAAAACACUGGAGCUAUUGAAUUGCUCUGUAUCUUUAUUUACUUAUUUAUUGCUAGUUUUAGAAUAACCAAAAAGUCUCUUGAAGUUCCUUCUUAUAAUGAAAGGGAAAUCAUGAAUUGAAAUGGUCAGAUUUUAAGGUUGGGGUGUUGGUGCAGCCAUCAUUGUAUCAGUGGCAGAUAAAAAUGUCUGUUCUAUUGAAUUCACACCCCAAAUCAAUGCCUCUACAUAAGUGGAGUCUAUAACAAAUCUAAACCAGCAUAGUUUUGUUGUUUUGUUUUUGUGUGGUAUUCUCUCUCUCCCUCUCCCUCUCCUUCUCUCAAGUCUAGAAGAACUACUUCAGCCUUGGGAAAGACUUCAUUUUUGCCUCGUGGAUGGGUCAGAGACAUCUGCUUCAGGUAGUUCACAGUGUUUCUUAAAUUAAGGCUUGAGCCCGAAGCACAGAUAGGGAGUUCUGACUGAAAGUACACAUUCCAUGUGUUUAUAAAUAUACAUUUUUUCAUCAUAUACCUGUUAUUUGAAUUCCUGGCAACCAGAACUUUUUAAAAGAAAUUUGCAUUUGUAAAAAGGAAUGUAAAAAAUUAAUUUUUCUUUCCUAGUGCUGGAGUUUUGUUGUACUUGAAGAAAUCCUGCUGGCGGGCAGAAAGCAGAGGUUUCAAAGGAAUCUCGUCUCCAUAUGGUUUUUCCCGAUAAUCCCUUAUCCUCCAUCUUCAGCUCUCAUUCCUUUGCUUUCUUGCCUGUGGCUACAUUUCUAUCUCUGCAUCAAUUAGCACAGUGAUUUAUACAACAAGCAAGCAGUUUAGAGUACAAGGUACGUAUCUUAACCAAACUCGCGGCAGAAUUGAACAAAUUUAUGCUGGAAAAAGUGGCUGAGGACACAAGCAGCAUUCUACGCUCGCCGAUGCCAGGAGUGGUGGUGGCCUUCUCUGUCAAACCUGGAGACAUGGUAGCAGAAGGUCAGGAAAUUUGUGUGAUUGAAGCCAUGAAAAUGCAGAACAGUAUGACAGCAGGGAAAACUGGCAAGGUGAAGUCGGUGCACUGCAAAGCUGGAGACACAGUUGGAGAAGGGGACCUGCUCGUGGAGCUGGAGUGAAGAAGUAUUUAUAGCCUUUCAUCACCCACUCUAAUUAGCCAUUUGUACUAUUCUCUUACUCAAUUUGUUCAGGCAUUUUACAGGAACACUCCUGUGCAGCAGGUUCUACAUCGUCUUUAUUCCUCAGAAGAGGCAAAAGCAACAUUCUGCCAAAAAAAUCACCAAUGGAAAUUUUUAUUGAUAUAAAUACUUGUACAUAUGAUUUGUACUUCUGCUGUGAGAUUUCCUAGUGUCAAAAUUAAAUCAAUAAAA